AACGAACGCUGGCGGCGUGUUUAAGACAUGCAAGUCGCACGGUGUCAUUUUGGUAGCAAUACUUGAAUGGCAUAGUGGCGCACGGGUGAGUAACACGUGAAUUACAUGCCCUGUAGAGGGGGAUAGCCCAGGGAAACUUGGAUUAAUACCCCAUGGUCUCGCAAGAGUAAAGGUGGCCGCAAGGCUGUCGCUACAGGAUUGGUUCGCGCCCUAUCAGCUUGUUGGCGGGGUAACGGCCCACCAAGGCUACGACGUGUACCUGGUCUGAGAGGACGAUCAGGCACACUGGAACUGAGACACGGUCCAGACACCUACGGGUGGCAGCAGUCGAGAAUAAUUCACAAUGGGGGCAACCCUGAUGGUGCAACGCCGCGUGGAGGAUGACGGUCUUCGGAUUGUAAACUCCUGUCAUCCGGGAGUAAGACCUGGCUGUGAAUAGCAGACAGGGUUGAUAGUACCGGAAGAGGAAGGGACGGCUAACUUCGUGCCAGCAGCCGCAGUAACAC
rnacentral:rRNA from 1 species